UAGAGUUUGAUCCUGGCUCAGGAUGAACGCUAGCUACAGGCUUAACACAUGCAAGUCGAGGGGAAACGGCAUUGAGUGCUUGCACUCUUUGGACGUCGACCGGCGCACGGGUGAGUAACGCGUAUCCAACCUUCCCAUUACUGUGGGAUAACCUGCCGAAAGGCCGACUAAUACCGCAUAGUCUUCGAUGACGGCAUCAGAUUUGAAGUAAAGAUUUAUCGGUAAUGGAUGGGGAUACGUCUGAUUAGCAUGUUGGCGGGGUAACGGCCCACCAAGGCGACGAUCAGUAGGGGUUCUGAGAGGAAGGUCCCCCACAUUGGAACUGAGACACGGUCCAAACUCCUACGGGAGGCAGCAGUGAGGAAUAUUGGUCAAUGGACGGAAGUCUGAACCAGCCAAGUAGCGUGCAGGAUGACGGCCCUAUGGGUUGUAAACUGCUUUUGUAUGGGGAUAAAGUCAAUCACGUGUGAUUGUUUGCAGGUACCAUACGAAUAAGGACCGGCUAAUUCCGUGCCAGCAGCCGCGGUAAUACGGAAGGUCCAGGCGUUAUCCGGAUUUAUUGGGUUUAAAGGGAGCGUAGGCUGGAUAUUAAGUGUGUUGUGAAAUGUAGACGCUCAACGUCUGACUUGCAGCGCAUACUGGUUUCCUUGAGUACGCACAACGUUGGCGGAAUUCGUCGUGUAGCGGUGAAAUGCUUAGAUAUGACGAAGAACUCCGAUUGCGAAGGCAGCUGACGGGAGCGCAACUGACGCUUAAGCUCGAAGGUGCGGGUAUCAAACAGGAUUAGAUACCCUGGUAGUCCGCACAG
rnacentral:rRNA from 1 species